AGUGAACGCUGGCGGUAGGCCUAACACAUGCAAGUCGAACGGCAGCACAGUAAGAGCUUGCUCUUACGGGUGGCGAGUGGCGGACGGGUGAGGAAUACAUCGGAAUCUACUUUUUCGUGGGGGAUAACGUAGGGAAACUUACGCUAAUACCGCAUAUGACCUACGGGUGAAAGCAGGGGAUCUUCGGACUUUGCGCGUUUCAAUGAGCCGAUGUCGGAUUAGCUAGUUGGCGGGGUAAAGGCCCACCAAGGCGACGAUCCGUAGCUGGUCUGAGAGGAUGAUCGGCCACACUGGAAUUGAGACACGGUCCAGACUCCUACGGGAGGCAGCAGUGGGGAAUAUUGGGCAAUGGGCGCAAGCCUGAUCCAGCCAUGCCGCGUGAGUGAAGAAGGCCUUCGGGUUGUAAAGCCCUUUUGUUGGGAAAGAAAAGCAGCGGGAUAAUACCCCGCUGUUCUGACGGUACCCAAAGAGAAAGCACCGGCUAACUUCGUG
rnacentral:rRNA from 1 species